rnacentral:rRNA from 1 species
GACGAACCGUCCUAACGUUGUUCGGAAUCACUGGGCUUAAAGGGCGCGUAGGCGGCUUGCCAAGUCAGGGGUGAAAUCCUGCAGCUUAACUGUAGAAGGGCCUUUGAUACUGGCGAGCUCGAGGGAGGUAGGGGUAUGUGGAACUUCCGGUGGAGCGGUGAAAUGCGUAGAUAUCAGGAGGAACACCUGUGGCGAAAGCGGCUCACUGGACCACAACUGACGCUGAUGCACGAAAGCUAGGGGAGCAAACAGG